rnacentral:rRNA from 1 species
UGGGGAAUCUUACGCAAUGGGGGAAACCCUGACGCAGCAACGCCGCGUGGGUGAUGAAGGCCUUCGGGUCGUAAAGCCCUGUCAGGUGGAAAGAAUCGCGCCGGUACGAAUAAUACCGACGCUUGACGGUACCACCGGAGGAAGCACCGGCUAACUCCGUGCCAGCAGCCGCGGUAAUACGGAGGGUGCAAGCGUUGUUCGGAAUUACUGGGCGUAAAGCGCGUGUAGGCGGUCAGGCAAGUCAGAUGUGAAAGCCUUUCGCUUAACGGAAGAAAUGCAUUUGAAACUACCUGGCUGGGGUUCGGGAGAGGAGAGUGGAAUUCCCGGUGUAGAGGUGAAAUUCGUAGAUAUCGGGAGGAACACCGGUGGCGAAGGCGGCUCUCUGGCCCGAUACUGACGCUGAGACGCGAAAGCGUGGGGAGCAAACAG